rnacentral:rRNA from 1 species
UACGUAGGUGGCCCAGUAAGUCAGUGGUGAAAUCCUGCCGCUUAACGGUAGAACUGCCAUUGAAACUGCUGGGCUUGAGUACAGUUGAGGUAGGCGGAAUGUGUAGUGUAGCGGUGAAAUGCUUAGAUAUUACACAGAACCCCGAUUGCGAAGGCAGCUUACUAAACUGUAACUGACACUGAGGUACGAAAGCGUGGGGAGCGAACAGGAUUAGAUACCCGAGUAGUCC